AUACGGAGGGUGCGAGCGUUAAUCGGAAUUACUGGGCGUAAAGCGUACGUAGGCGGUUGGUUAAGUUAGAUGUGAAAGCCCCGGGCUUAACCUGGGAACUGCAUUUAAAACUGGCGAACUAGAGUUGAGUAGAGGGGAGUGGAAUUUCAGGUGUAGCGGUGAAAUGCGUAGAGAUCUGAAGGAACACCAGUGGCGAAGGCGACUCCCUGGACUUGAACUGACGCUGAGGUACGAAAGAGUGGGUAGCAAACGGGAUUAGAAACCAUAGUAGUCC
rnacentral:rRNA from 1 species